GACAACACUAACUGCAAGUAUGAAUAAUAGGGGACAAGGGUCAGCAACCAUCGAUGUCCGUAUCAUAGACACCUUCGAGAGGCUCCACAAUCUCACAAUCUCACAAAGCUCACUAGAGGGAGUGUUGAUAGUUAAAGUUCGAUGUGGACAACGAGAGGCAAUAUGUCCUUUGGCAUGGCAAUGGAAACAUUCAAUUCGAGCAUUAGUAGAAACAGGCGGCCCUUUGUUUGGUGGUGGUGCAGGCGAGUUAGAUGGCCCUGAAAAAACUGUUUGCAUACCCGUAAUGGGAAGAGUUUG
rnacentral:lncRNA from 1 species